GUCGUUUACGUAUAAAGUUUCUUAUAGAUGGCAGCUGCUUGGACGCGGACGACACACGAUCGAGUGGGGGAGAGGGAGACAGGAUGAUGGACGCCUAUACGGGUGUGGGGGAUCCCUGACAGCGGAUCGAGAGCAGCAUGAGCUGUAUUUGUAGAAGAUAGCGACAGAGUGGGAAGGUUUGUGCAAAGUUCUUCUCCUCCGUCGCCGUCCGUGACAAAGCUGCUGGGUGCAUCCGUCCAUCAUCUUCAGAUCUGAGUGAAGAGGGCAUCCGUCCAUCUCAAAAGAGAGCCUUGUAGCAAUGAUUCUUGGUGAAAACGCCCUUCCCUCGAUACCCCCUGGUUCAUGGUAAUUACUCGACAUUUUGGAAAUGAAACUGACAGAGUUUCGGUCCUAGAUAUUUCUUUGAGCAAAUAUUACAACUGGAACGCAGAAUUCUGAUUGCAGUCACAAGUCAUGUGGAGUUCGAACUGUUAGUGAACAUAGGUCCUACGUUCUAGUUGUAGGUUAAGUGCGAGCAAUUUCUAGGAGUAUGAGACCUCAGCUUCAAUAGGUUAUCUUCGGUUGCAUUGUAGCUAAAUUCCUCAUUUAGUUUGUUUUCUUAGGCCAAUGUCGUCCAGAAAAUUCAGAAUU